rnacentral:rRNA from 1 species
AUUGAACGCUGGCGGCAGGCCUAACACAUGCAAGUCGAACGAGUGGCGGACGGGUGAGUAAUGUCUGGGAAACUGCCCGAUGGAGGGGGAUAACUACUGGAAACGGUAGCUAAUACCGCAUACCAUCGGAUGUGCCCAGAUGGGAUUAGCUUGUAGGUGAGGUAACGGCUCACCUAGGCGACGAUCCCUAGCUGGUCUGAGAGGAUGACCAGCGAAAUGGGAACUGAGCAACGGUCCGUGGUACAACGGGAGGCAGCAGUGGGGAAUAUUGCAUAAUGGGUGCGAGCCGGAGGCAGGCAUGCGGGGGGUAUGAAUAAGGCAUUGGGGGUGCAAAGUACUGGCAGCGGGGAGGCGUGACCAGUAGAAGAAGCACCGGCUAACUCCGUGCCAGCAGCCGCGGGAAUAC